rnacentral:rRNA from 1 species
AGAUUGAACGCUGGCGGCAGGCCUAACACAUGCAAGUCGAGCGGCAGCACGGGUACUUGUACCUGGUGGCGAGCGGCGGACGGGUGAGUAAUGCCUAGGAAUCUGCCUGAUAGUGGGGGAUAACGCUCGGAAACGGACGCUAAUACCGCAUACGUCCUACGGGAGAAAGCAGGGGACCUUCGGGCCUUGCGCUAUCAGAUGAGCCUAGGUCGGAUUAGCUAGGUUGGUAGGGGUAAUGGCUCACCAAGGCGACGAUCCGUAACUGGUCUGAGAGGAUGAUCGAGUCACACUGGAACUAGAGACGACGGUCCAGACUCCGUACGGGAGCAGCGUAGGU